AAGUCCAACCUAAAGCCACCACAAUACUCUCAAAUUACCCUUUGACUUUAGAGCAAUUCAAGUAGGGAACAGCCUACAUGAAACAGGAUACAACCUCAUAUAACGGGUAAAUUUUCCCCCCCCCCAUGAACAAGUGGGCCUAAGAGCAGCCAUCUUAAAAGCGUCAAAGCUUAAUUCAUUACUACACUUAAUAUUUUUAUUCCUAAAAACCCCUUUUACACUACCGAGCACUUCUAUACUACUAUAGAACUUUCUAUGUUAAAACUAGUAACAAGAAGUUAGUUCUUCUCUUCAGUACAAAUGUAUAUCAGCGCGGACCCCCCACUGAUAAUUAACAACCCUAGUAGUAACCCACCAAGAAAACUCUAUUUCACAUUCUGUUAACCUAACACAAGAGUACUUCAAGAAGAUUAAAAGAAAAAGAAGGAACUCGGCAAAUACCAGCUCCGCCUGUUUACCAAAAACAUCGCCUCUUGUUCUAAAUAAGAGGUCCAGCCUGCCCAGUGACUUGUUUAACGGCCGCGGUAUCCUAACCGUGCGAAGGUAGCGUAAUCACUUGUUUUUUAAAUAAAGACCUGUAUGAAAGGCACCACGAGAGCCAAACUGUCUCCUUUUUCCUAUCAGUGAAACUAAUCUUCCCGUGAAGAAGCGGGAAUUUUUUAAUAAGACGAAAAGACCCUAUGGAGCUUUAAACUUCACAACACCUGUUUCUCAAUCUUUAAUAUUCUCUCUAAACACCCUGUUUAUGAACUUUCGGUUGGGGCGACCACGGAGAAUAACUCACCCUCCGUAAUGAGUAACAAAAAGCAACAACUUUAUUCAUCAGUAAAACUGACAUCCAUUGACCCAAAUCUUUGAUCAACGAACCAAGUUACCCUAGGGAUAACAGCGCUAUCCACUUUAAGAGCCCCUAUCGACAAGUGGGCUUACGACCUCGAUGUUGGAUCAGGGUAUCCUGGUGGUGCAGCCGCUACUAACGGUUCGUUUGUUCAACGAUUAAAACCCUACGUGAUCUGAGUUCAGACCGGAGUAAUCCAGGUCAGUUUCUAUCUAUUAAAAGCUCUUUCCAGUACGAAAGGACCGAAAAAGCAUGGCCCAUCUACUUUACACGCCAUAGCAACACUUUUGAUCAAUACUCAAAAUAAAUCUUUUUA
rnacentral:rRNA from 1 species